GAUGAACGCUGGCGGCGUGCCUAAUACAUGCAAGUCGAGCGAACAGACGAGGAGCUUGCUCCUUUGACGUUAGCGGCGGACGGGUGAGUAACACGUAGGUAACCUACCUAUAAGACUGGGAUAACUUCGGGAAACCGGAGCUAAUACCGGAUAAUAUUUCGAACCGCAUGGUUCGAUAGUGAAAGAUGGCUUUGCUAUCACUUAUAGAUGGACCUGCGCCGUAUUAGCUAGUUGGUAAGGUAACGGCUUACCAAGGCAACGAUACGUAGCCGACCUGAGAGGGUGAUCGGCCACACUGGAACUGAGACACGGGCCAGACUCCUACGGGAGGCAGCAGUAGGGAAUCUUCCGCAAUGGGCGAAAGCCUGACGGAGCAACGCCGCGUGAGUGAUGAAGGUCUUCGGAUCGUAAAACUCUGUUAUUAGGGAAGAACAAACGUGUAAGUAACUGUGCACGUCUUGACGGUACCUAAACAGAAAGCCACGGCUAACUACGUG
rnacentral:rRNA from 1 species